UUGCGCCUGCGGCGGACCCGGCGCGGACUUUUCCAUGGCUUCGCAGGCAGCCUGUUCGCGUACGGCCCUGUACGUCCAGGAAUUAUCCUGGCUUUAAUGAUUUCU
rnacentral:ncRNA from 1 species